rnacentral:lncRNA from 1 species
GAGGGAAGAGCUGGGAGGUGGGAAGUGGGGGAGGGGCCCCAGACCAGGCUCAGAGCAUAUCCUUGCUCCUGGCCUCCACCGCAGAAGGUGGCUCACCCCUCUGCAUGGAACAGUCUCUCUCCAUUCCCUCUACCCUGGCCUUCCUCCUCCUUGCAGGCCCCAGAAGCUGGAGGGGGCUGGUCGGGGUUGGGCUCACAGACACAGUGGUGGAGCUCACAGAAGUGCCCCCACCCACCAGGAGCCCAGGGUGGGCCUCAGCCAGCCGGGGGUAAUGAGGCAUGGGAUGGACUCUGCGGGCACCAGGCCUGACCCUGAGUGCACCCAGGCGAGGGCGGGGGACACUCAGAUCUGCCCCUCUCUGCAGGAACCUGGUUUCCCCACCCUGGAGGCCAGCGCCAAAGGACGUUCACGUGCAGCUCAACCACACAAUAUAAGAGCUACUGUCUCCAAUUAACACUUGGGGACACUGAGGCAAAGAGCCUGGCUGAAUAUUGUGCCCGUGAAGACAGAGGGACAGCCUAUUUUGUUUGCUGCUUUUGACCAGGGAGACAGCGUUCACUCAUGAAUUUAAGAAAAAAAAAAUCCCUGAUCCCUACUUUUUGCCAACUUCAAUGCUGAUUUCUAGUGGUACCAAGAAAAAUGCAACUGAGCCUCCAUCCUCAAGGGGCUCACAGUCUUGUGUGGAGAUAAAAAAUGCAGGCCUGCUGCAGAUCCAAGUCCUGUGACCGGGGUCCUGCCCAAGGGUCCUGCUUCCCUAGGCAUCCCAGAAGUUCAGCCUGCAUCUCGACCAGAGCCUGAGAGUAGACACCUGCCGGUUUAUCUGUCCCUUCAUGUAGCAGGUGACAGAGGUGCCAGGGGCAUGGCAGGGGUACUCUGACACAGCACUGCCCCACGGAGCCCAUGUCCCAGGGCAGAAGACCCACGAUGCACAGCCAGCCAGGUGGCCUCAUCCGAUCAGUCAAAGGCCUCAAUAGAACCAAGACUGACCUCUGCCAAAGAGAGAAUUCUUUCAGCAGACGGCCUUCGGACUUGAGCUAUGACGGCAACUCUUCCCCGGGCCCACCUGACGGACUGGGUUUCUCAGCCUCCACAGUCGUGUGAGCCAAUUCCGUAAGAUAAAUCUCUCUCUCUUCUCUCUCAAUCUCUCUCUCAAUCUCUCUCUCUCUCCAGGAAAGAACUCCAGGGUAGCUGGGAGCUUGGUAUGUUCCAGGACAGCAGGGAGGCCAGAGCCGCUGUCAGUGUGAGAGGGUCGGAGUACAGUGGGGCCCUCCCUGCAUGUGGGGCCUCAUAAGGUGGCAUAGAUGCACGCUUGUUCUGUGUGGACAGGGUUUGGGUGGGGGUGAUGCUUCCUCUGUUCCCUGGGUAGAGACUUGAUGUCUGGUGGCCUGGGGAAGGCAAGGAGGCCAUGUGGAGGCUGCUGCUGUGGUCCGGGUGAGAGGUGACGCCACUGUAGGGCAGCUGGUGGCAUGCAUAAUUCAAAAUAGGCAUAUUGACCAGAUGCAGUGGCUCAUGCCUGUGAUCCCAGCACUUUGGGAGGCCAAGGCAGGAGGAUUG